UGAAAAAGUUCAGCUCAUUGAAAGGAUUGGCAGUACUUGGGCCAUAAAAAAGAAUAGGUUUGUUUGCCCAAACGCUACCUACCCAGAAAAAAGCUGCCUACUCAAAUUCUUUUAUUGUCCAGAUUUGAAGAAGUUUUUUUUUAAUCAGAUAGGCAUGAAGACUAAUAAACACCAGAUACUUCAAUUUCUCUUUUUGAAAAAAAAAGAAAAUGCCUACCUACCUACCCACUGUCUCAACCUUUGGGUAGGGUUUGGGCAAACCAAAAUAUUUUUAAUUGGG
rnacentral:lncRNA from 1 species